UCUUUGGGAACAGAGAUUUCUCUCUGCCUGGCAUCAGUUUGACAAGCAUGGCUUUCACAGUUCUUGAGUUCCUGGAAAGCUUCCUGGUAUCAAAUGAUGCUUCAGAAUAGGAACUGGGCAAUGGCUUCUUUGCAAAAGUCCACACUCAGCCUCUGUUCCCUGGCCAAGGGAUACCCAAGCCUUGGCCUGAUGACAGUCACAGGAUUUUUCUAACAUAAAGUCUGAGAAAUCUAACUUUAACAACACAGAGGCAAGAAAACUGCUCAGAAGAUCCCAAACCUUGGACUAAGGCUGAACUCCCUGCCAUGGACUGUAGGACUGAGAAAAGUCCUGACUGAAUGACAGCAAGGAUGGCAAGGAUAGUGAAAAAAAGUCAGAGAAAUCCAUCAAAAUGUGCUAACCUGAGAAUAAAGAAGAAUUUAUUUUGUAAUUUCUAAAAAAAAAAAAAAAAAAAAAAAUCAUGUGUUUCAA